AAUGAACGUUGGCGGCGUGGAUUAGGCAUGCAAGCCGAGCGAGAACCCCGCAAGGGGGGACAGCGGCGCAAGGGACAGUAAUGUGUAGAUCAUCUGCCCUCAGGUCCGGGAUAGCUGCGGGAAACUGCAGGUAAUACCGGAUAACAUCCCCGGAUCAAAGGUGUGAUUCCGCCUGAGGAUGAGUCUGCAUCCUAUUAGCUAGUUGGCAGGGUAACGGCCUACCAAGGCAUUGAUGGGUAGCGGGUGUGAGAGCACGACCCGCGUCAUUGGGACUGAGACACUGCCCAGACACCUACGGGUGGCUGCAGUCGAGAAUCUUCGGCAAUGGGCGCAAGCCUGACCGAGCGACGCCGCGUGUGGGAUGAAGGCCUUCGGGUUGUAAACCACUGUCAGAGGGGAUGAAAUGCAGGUGGGUUCUCCCAUCUGUUUGACAUAGCCUCAGAGGAAGGACGGGCUAAGUUCGUGCCAGCCGCCGCGGUAA
rnacentral:rRNA from 1 species